UACGUAGGGUCCGAGCGUUACUCGGAAUUACUGGGCGUAAAGCGUGCGCAGGCGGUUUUGUAAGCCAGAUGUGAAAUCCCCGGGCUUAACCUGGGAACUGCAUUUGGGACUGCAAGGCUCGAGUACGGCAGAGGGAGGUGGAAUUCCACGUGUAGCAGCGAAAUGCGUAGAGAUGUGGAGGAACACCGAUGGCGAAGGCAGCCUCCUGGGCCAGUACUGACGCUCAUGCACGAAAGCGUGGGGAGCAAACAGG
rnacentral:rRNA from 1 species